AUGGAGACAUGGCGAAUCUUCUUCGGCGUGAUCCUCUUCGCCCUCCCGCUGACCCUCCUCCUUUUCCGCAGCGGUAAGACCGGCGGCGGCGCCCGGCGGCCCAUCCCGCCUGGCCCGCCGUCCUUUCCGGUGCUGGGCAGUAUGGUGUGGCUGACGAACUCGCCCGCCGACGGGGAGUCCCUCCUCCGGCGUCUGUUCGCGCGGUACGGUCCCAUCGUGUCGCUGCGCGUGGGCUCCCGGCUCUCCAUCUUCGUCGCCGACCGCCGCCUCGCGCACGCCGCCCUCGUCGAGCGCGGUGCCGCUCUGGCCGACCGCCCGACCCUCGCGUCCGUCAGGAUCAUGGGCGAGAACGACCACACCAUCACGCGCGCCAGCUACGGGCCCGUGUGGCGCCUCCUCCGCCGCAACCUCGUCUCCGAGACGCUGCACCCGUCCCGCGUCCGACUCUUCGCGCCCGCGCGCUCCUGGGUGCGCCGCGUGCUCCUCGACAAGCUGCGGGACGAGUCGCCCUCCGGCGGGGCGGCCGUCGUGGAGACGUUCCAGUACGCCAUGUUCUGCCUCCUCGUGCUCAUGUGCUUCGGCGAGCGGCUCGACGAGCCCGCGGUGCGCGCGAUCGCCGCCGCGCAGCGCGACCAGCUGCUCUACAUCACCAGGAAAAUGGCCGUCUUCGCCUUCUUUCCGUCGCUCACAAAGCACCUCUUCCGCGACCGCCUCCGGACCGCGCACGCCAUGCGGCGGCGGCAGAAGGAGCUGCUCGUGCCGCUGAUCAACGCGCGGCGGGAGUACAAGAGCCGCGGCGGCAAGCCCAGGAAAGAGACGACGUUCGAGCACUCGUACGUGGACACCCUUCUCGACAUCAAGCUCCCCGAGGAGGGCGACCGCCCGCUCACCGACAGCGAGAUGGUCAUCCUCUGCUCCGAAUUUCUCAACGCCGGGACCGACACCACCUCCACCGGGCUGCAGUGGAUCAUGGCCGAACUGGUCAAGAACCCAGAAAUCCAGGAGAAGCUCUACGAGGAGAUCAAAGCGACGACGGGAGGCGACCAUGAAGAGGUCUCCGGGGACGACGUCCACAAGAUGCCUUACCUCAAGGCGGUGGUUCUCGAAGGCCUCCGGAAGCACCCGCCGGGGCACUUCGUGCUGCCGCACAAGGCGGCGGAGGACAUGGAGAUCGGCGGUUACAUGAUACCCAAGGGCGCCACGGUGAACUUCAUGGUCGCCGAGAUGGGCCGGGACGAGCGGGAGUGGCAAAGGCCGUUAGAGUUCUCUCCGGAGCGGUUCCUGCCAGGAGGCGCGGGCGAAGCGGUGGACGUGACGGGCAACCGGGAGAUCAAGAUGAUGCCGUUCGGCGUGGGGCGGAGGAUCUGCGCCGGGCUGGGCAUCGCCAUGCUCCACCUGGAGUACUUCGUGGCCAACAUGGUGAGGGAGUUCAAGUGGCAGGAGGUCGCCGGCGAGGAGGUGGACUUCGCCGAGAAGAACGAGUUCACCGUCGUCAUGAAAAAGCCGCUGCGUCCACGCCUCGUGCCCCGUAGGUCUUAG
rnacentral:rRNA from 1 species